AAGAGGUAGGAACAAUAAUCAAAGGAUUUAGUCAAGCAUGUAUAUAAUGAUUUGUUACCUUAGGUAUGGUAAGGGUCUGUUAAACAGUUUCUAGGGGUAAGACAACUUAAGCAGAUUUAUGAUUAGAGUAGGUGAUUACCAAUUGUUAUCAAACUACUGCCCCUGG